UUCACCUUACUUUUUGUAUCUGUAUCUUUGUCUCUCCCAUUUCUUGCAAAGCACACUGCCUGUGGGCCCGGUUAUAUCGGGGCGUCAAGAACCCCCGGUAUCUCUCCACUAGAAUGGGAGAUCCACAGGGCAAGGAUGGUGGCGUCUGUUUAGCGCUGUAACGGUGUACUAACUAUAGGUAAAUACUUGCAGAAUGAACCAGUGGAUGCAGUCUUGAGUGCCUACUGAAUACAGCGCGACAGGACAGACUAGUCCUUGCCCUCGGUGCCUACUGAAUACAGCGCGACAAGACAGACUAGUCCUUGCCCUCGGGAGUGCGGAGACAGCCAAGGAGGCGUAAAGUGACUGAGAGGACGACAGAAGACUCUCCCACACGACUUUUCUAGGGCGUGGCUCAGAAGCGGGAAGAACAGCGCGGCGCAGGGGCGAAGGUCUUCCACGUCAGCGAGCCUGCACUAGAUUUCAGUGAAUCUCGCAGCUGGAAGGUACCUUCCAGACCUCGGACCCUGCCCUGUCACUUCACAGACAAGGAAAGCCCGGCCCAGCGCGGUUAAAAAAAAAAGAAAAGAAAACCCUCAAAGGACAAAAGUUGAAACUCACUGGCCGGACUAGAAAGCUAUCCUAGGAGAUGUGAAGUGGUUUUGAUUUGCAUUUCCCUAAUUGCUCAAAUGAUUACAGAGGCUGAAAAGUCCCACGAUCUGCUGUCUGCAGGCUGGAGACCCAGGGA